rnacentral:rRNA from 1 species
UGAGGGAAUAUUGGUCAAUGGGCGGAAGCCUGAACCAGCCAAGUCGCGUGAGGGAAUAAGGCCCUACGGGUCGUAAACCUCUUUUGCCGGGGAGCAGUGCCCAGCUCGCGAGCUUGGGAGGGAGCGUACCCGGAGAAAAGCAUCGGCUAACUCCGUGCC